rnacentral:lncRNA from 1 species
GAGAGAAGGAGUAAAUCCUGUUUGCAAAACGGCUGCAGUGGGAGAAUCCUAAUGUAUGGCAUCCCGAGAGAGCAACCAUAUCAGUCUGCGACAGACCAUGCUUCGCGAACAUGCUGUUGAGUUGAUCCAGAUUGAAUUCAGGCUCCGGUAAGUUCCCAGCAACCCGAGAAGCUAGAGAGAUGCGACCAUCCCGCCUUCCUAAUUCCACGUUGUAUGUAGGACCUCCUGCCUGAAACACCAGAAAUGAUCAUCACAUCUUGAGCUGACAAGGACGUCAGCAGACGAUCAAGUUGAUUGACUUUACCAGGAAGACGACAUCUCGUGCAGCAAUGGCCAAGAUGUCUGCACAGGAUACCGUGCCAGGACACUCAGCCUCAACUGCUUGCUUGGCCUUAACAACGGUGUCAAAGCCAUCUCCGGCUAAGGAGAGGUUGUCCGGAGCAUCUUUUUCAGCAUCGUUGUUUGGUGAAGCUAUAAUAACUGAGGCAUCGCAUCCCUACAAGACGACACAAUCAAUUCAGGUUAGCCACACUAUCCAAUAGUUGUUAUGCUGUCUCUUUUACUCGUUAAUUCCAUGGUCACGUUUAAACAAUUGUGUAGUAGAAUAGAUAUAUCAAAUUUAGUUUUGUGAAAAUCUGUUUCUUGCUGUCAAAAAUUUAAGGCCUAAUUCAAAUCUUACCAUACUAGGUAGUCUAGUCUAGUCUAGUCCCCCACAUAAACCAAAUAAAGAACUAGGUUGCAUUAUAUCUCUUUUCCCCACAUCAAUGAUUUCCAUAUUUCCAUAUUUAUCUAUCCAUGACCAUGCUUAUGUUUUCAUAUAUCAAAGAAGAAAGCAUGUGGUAAAAUUGAGGCGAAGGCGAAAAAUCUCAUUCUUAUCAUACACUUAACAAUGGAGUAGAGGAAUAGCAGAAGUUGAAUACAUACCUCAACGAAGCAGUCAUGGAAAAACAGACGCACAGUGGCUGGAAUGGUGACGAACGUCUGGCUUAUCUUCGACACUACAGCCUGCCUCACAAUGUUCUCGACGUUCGGACAUGUUGAGCUAUA